CUGUCACAGUCAUCAUAUGGAGGAGACCAAGCCAAGUCCCCUCCAGUUCCCUGAAUAAGAGGUGAUGACUACUCCACUCCACUACCUUUGUUAACUUUCUCCUGACAUGAACUGAAGCCACUUCUCAUGUGCCCGCUAAUCCACUGGCACAUUGAAUGUUUACCCUCCAUGCACUUCAAAUCCUGUCCUGCACUGGUCAAGCCACUGAACACCUCAACUCAUUCCUCAUACCCUCAUUCAAUCACUGCGUGAUCUCUUUCCCACACGGUGGUAUCUGCCGGUUCUGGCUCCAUGGCAUCAGUCAGACCGAGGCUCCUGCGGUGGACAAUUGGUUCCUGCGUGCGGAGGAAAUCUGGGAGGCCGCCCACGUCCACCUUCAGCGCGCCAUACUGUGCCAGAAAGUUAGCGCAGACCGUCACCGCAGUGAAGCCCCGGUGUUCGCACCAGGGGACAGGGUCUGGCUCUCGACCCGAAACCUGCCCCUCCGCCUGCCCUGCCGGGAGCUGGGUACGCGGUUUGUGGGGCCGUUUAAAGUCCUGAGGAGAGUGAACGAGGCCGGUGAUGGCUGGUCCGCUCCAGGAGUCUGAGGUGCGGGAGGUUCCUCCAUCCCGUCUGGACAUCGAGGGGGUCCCGGCGUACUCUGUGCGAUCCAUUUUGGAUUCGAGACAUUGGGAGAGGGGCCUUCAGUACCUCGUGGACUGGGAGGGGUACGGUCCGGAGGAGAGAUGCUAGGUUCCGGAGGAGGAUGUAUUAGAUCCUUCCAUGCUGCGAAAAUUCCCCCGCCUCCAUCCAGAUCGCCCUGCGCCUCGCCCUCCGGGUCAUCCCCGAGGCCGGUGUCGACGCGCUGCUGGAGCCGCACGUCGGGGGGGUACUGUCACAAGUUGAUGCCUCUCCGUGUUCGGGGUGGUGCUCGGUGGUCGACGUCACCGGUCUUCUAGCCAUCAUUGAUCCAUUUUUCAUUUUCCAUUGGUUUUGUCUUGUCUUCCUACACACCUGGUUUCAUUCAUUACCUGCUGUGUAUUUAACCCUCUGUUUCCCAUCAUGUCUUUGUCAGAGAUUGUUUCUUGUUUCAGUUUGUCCUCGUACCCAAUUUGUUUAAUUUGUAUUCAUAGUUUUGGAGUUAUGUUUUGUUUUAUUAAAUUACUCCAUUUACCGAGUUUAUUCUCCUGCACCUGACUUGCCUGUCAACUAUACACACGUUUGUGACAUUAACUUAAAACAAAACCUCCAAAACCAAAGUACAUAAUAAAAUAAACAUGGGUACAAGAACCCGUCGCACACCAAUCCAUAAAACACGAGCAUGCAUAACAAAAAACUAUCUCUGACGAGGACAUGAGGGGAAGUAGAGGGUUAAAUACAUAACAUAUAAUGCAUGGGAUUGAAACCAGGUGUGUAGGAAGACAAGGCAAAACCAAUGGAAAAUGAAAACAUAGAUCAAUGAUGGCUAGAAGACCGCUGACGUCGACCGCGAGCACCGCCCGAACAAGGAGAGGCAUCGACUGGUAGAAAUCGUGACAAUAUUGAAGUUAGAAGCAAAAGCCUACAACUAUUUUUGCACCGUUUCGCUCUGCUCUGACACAAGCAUGGGGACUGGUCUUGAUAAAUCAAAACGUUUUCACUUAAUCUCCAUUUGGGUAUUGGUUAGACAAUAAUUUGAAAAUUAGGGUGCAGAAAUGUUAUGCUCUUCGUGUAACCUUUAUUUAACUAGGCAGGUCAGUUAAGAACACAUCAUUUUUAUUUACAAGGACAUCCUACUCCUUCCUCCCGUUGUUCAGCGCCAUAUUUUCCCAACCUAACGGAAACCCUGAUGGUUUCAUUUUUUGUUUAUCUCUGAAUAGAAACCCCAUAAUUUUAAUCAAAUUAAGACAAAUUUCUU
ensembl:lncRNA